UUAUUAAAAUUAAUAUGGUAAAAUUAAUAUGGUAAAAUAUAAUUUUAUUAAAAUUAUAAUGGUAUAAUUUUUAUUAAAAUUAUACCAUUUUAUUAAAUCAUGUUAUCAAGAAAUUAUAUUACUGUGUUAAUUAUAACACAUAUCUAUACAGAACAAAAUCCAAAAUAAAUCUCACGGAUAUCCUGUAGAUAUCGCGGUAUCUAUAGAAUAUCCAUGAGAUAUAUUUUGGAUAUUUGUUCUGUAUGGAUAUAGACAAAAUGUAAGACAUUUAUAUCGAUCAAAGAAGUGGUGUAAUGUCUAAAGGAGCGUCUACAUUGGAAGUAAGCAGUAAGAAGUAGGAAGUAAGAGUAAAAAAUUGACCAAUCAUAGUUGAUUAUUCUUCUCACAUUCGACUGUUGGUCGAAUGUAAUUUCUUACUCUUACUUCCUACUUCUUACUGUUUACUUCCAAUGUAGACGCUCCUUAAAGCAACAGACUCAUAAUCUAGAGGUGCCUCAGGUUCCAAGUUCGAAUCCCACCAGUGCUACCCUUAUAGAGAAGUAUUACUGGCUGUGAUAAAUUGACCAGUAAUAAAUAGUAAUUUUAUUAUUCGAACGAGUAAUAAAAUUACUAAACGACAGUAAUUGUGACUGGCCAAAUUUAUCACUUAUCAGUAUUAAAUUUCUAUAAGGGCAGUGAUAAUUUUUAAAUGUGAUGUAACAUUGGAAUCAAGUAAUCUUAAGAUUUUCAAGUAAAAUUUAAGAAACACUGUGACAUUUAUGAACAGUUUCUAAAUGUACAAAUACGAAGAGUUUCUGUAUAUAAAAAAAAGUAUCUGAAAUAUUUCCCAUAUAUUUUUGAAACAUAUCAGUAAUAUUUCAGAUAUAUUUCAGAUAAUACAUCAUAAGCGGACAUUUUAUGCAUCUGAAAGAUAUCUAAAAUAUGUCUGAAAUAUUUCUUUAAAAUGUUUUGUAUUUCGUUUAAAGAUUUUGAAAGUUUUCUGAAAUAUGUUGAUGCUGUGUGCGAUGUUAUUAAUACUUGAUGUUUACUGCGAUAUUUCCGAAUGUACUAUGGCUUUGUUUCAUAUUAUUAUAGAUAUUAUAUAUUUCAUAUUAUUAUAGAUAAAACAUUUAAAACAUUGCGUUAUAUAUCUUAACUAGAUCAUAGAAGUACUUUUGUUGCUGACAUUUAGUGAUACAUGUAACAUACAUGUAUGGUAUUUGCUACGUAACUGGUUACUUCGUGAUCUUUACUGUUAUGUAUUUAAGACAUAUAUGUCACAUUAUUGUGUUUGCUGGGUAUUGAUUUUCAGUUCGAUUUAAACGAUAAAAGGUACAUCCCACGUAGAAAUUGCCAAGCCAAACUGGCCAAACAUUGGUCCAGUAUCGGCGGCCAAGAGUCGACAACCAAUUUUGUCCCGAUACCGGUUGAUAAUCUGGCCAUUCAACGAGCUAUCAUAAAAUACAGAUCUGGACUCAGUAAAGGCUGCAAGACAGGCCAAACUCUAGCUUCGGCGUGUUAUCAGGUGUGUUAAAACAACACACAAUUCACUAAUUUGAUGUGCUUAUGCGUUUAAACAACACAGCUGCGGUUGUAAAUAUAUUGAAACGACACACAAAGUAUACUGAUCUAUACACGAAUUCUGUGUUAUAGUGGAUAACACAGUGGAUAACACACUUCAUGUAUGUUAAGACCAUAAUUCAGUAAAUUGAAUGCAUAUAAUGUAUAUAAAUGUAAUGCAUGAAUCGCAGAAUAACAAUAAUUUGGAAAAAACAACAUAUUACUAGAGUUACACACUUACAGGAAUUACACAUAAAACCUCACAUUAUUCAAAAAGAAUGAACAAGAAAAUAUGUGGAUAAUAUUAAUGAUGUGAUGAAUGCAGUUGUCACUGACAAAUAUUUUUGCAUUUAGUCUGCAGAAAACAUUGGCUAUUAUACAGUAUCUAACCAGUUUAUGUAAUGUCUACGAAGUUAUAUGGGAAAAAAAGUGUCGUGAGCAUGAAACGUCAAAUAGCUCAGUGGUUCACUGCAGCACCCGGCAAGCGAAAGACCCAGGUUCGAGUCCUGGCAUAGCAGCAACAAACCGCGCUUUGGGUAUUUUUCUCUCUCCGGAAUGAAAAGAAGACGCAGGUCCCACUGCCACGGCAUUUCCCAUCGCUACCUUUAAUACGUCCUAAUACAACACAUAUAUAAGUCGUACACAUAUUAUAUGCAUUCAGCUAGCAUAACACGAAUCAUGUCUAUAGAAUACAUAUUUGUGUGUUAUAUUUACACGUUUCUUGCAAAUUUACACACUUUCUUCUGUAUUGCAUAUUUAUACACCUGCAGGCGUGUCAAAAGUGACUGUAGGGAUUACACACGUAAAAUGUGUUAAUGCAACACACUUCUUUUUACAGUGCAGACAGCAGACCAGUUAUAUACCCAACAUUGGUGCGACGUUGGCAUCAAUGUUGAUGUCAGUGCUGGUGUCAGUGUUUAACCAGUACGGCAAGGUGUUACACUCCUAUAUUGAAUCUAUACUGGCACAACACUGGCGGCCAGUACGGGUACAACGGCAAUCGGUACUGUCCCAAUGUUGGACCGCUUUAACAUUUCUACGUGGGAUAUUUUCUUAACAUGAGAUUAACAUUCUUAAAGAGAUUAACAUGUCUUUUUUUCUUUAAUUUUAAAUUACAAAGUCUAAACUUGCACAAUUCUUCAAUUUUUCACGAAAAAUAAAUAAUUUUAGAAAAAAUGUAAGGGAAAGAGAAAUUGUGUAAAGGAAGUAAUAACAAUUAGAAUCAUAUUUAUAGAUAGAUCUUUGAACCGAUUUAGAUACGUGUACAUACGUGUGUACGUGUGUAUGUGAGUGUAUGUGAGUGUAUGUGAGUGUUUAUGUCUAGUAUCUCAGCAUGUCCUCAGGUAUUUUAUGCUAUUAGAGUUAUUUUUAUUUAUUUGUUUUCAUCUCUCUGUACAUAUCCAAAUGUAAGGGAUUACUAUUGUAACAGUGAUCUCGAUUGAUCAAGGAUUGUACCACUUACUAUAAAAGUGGACUUCAUAGUACAAGUUGUGCCGUCUUAUAAGCAUCGUUCUUACAUAUAUUAAUGCAUCAUAUUUCACGUACGAGAAAGACGCGAGAAAACGGAAGCAAUUUAGCGAAUAAUCCGAUAUCUAGAUAUAAGAAUACUAUAUAACAUAGAUGUAAUGCAAAUAAACGCUUGUUAUGUAAUCUA